CACGUAGGGGGCAAGCGUUGUUCGGAAUUACUGGGCGUAAAGGGCAUGUAGGCGGUUCUGUAAGCCUUACGUGAAAGGCUAUGGCUCAACCAUGGCACGGCGUAGGGAACUGCGGGACUUGAAUCACGGAGAGGGAGCUGGAGUUCCAGGUGUAGGGGUGAAAUCUGUAGAUAUCUGGAAGAACACCAGUGGCGAAGGCGAGCUCCUGGCCGAUGAUUGACGCUGAGGUGCGAAAGUGUGGGGAUCAAACAGGAUUAGAGACCCUGGUAGUCCACACUGUCAACGAUGUGCACUAGGUGCUGGGGCGGACGCUUCAGUAUCGAAGCUAACGCGUUAAGUUCGCCGCCUGGGGAGUACGGUCGCAAGACUGAA
rnacentral:rRNA from 1 species